AAUCUCUCCACCUCCCUUGCAGCUGGUGCAGCUGCAUGACCUGCUCUAGAAAGUGGGUAUAGCUGUUGUCUGCACCGGGCUCUCCAAGAGCACCUUGACUUUCCUGGGCAGAGGAGAGGGGUGAGAGAGAGCCUUGCACCCGUCUCUCCAUCCUGCUUUGGAGACCGGAGCAGGUAUUCCACCAGGAGGAAGAGAAGCCAACGUCCUGAGAAUAUGAUGAAAAAGGACGGGCCUGGGACGACACUGCCAAGCUGCCCAACAAAACCCGAGCCCAUCUGCCUCUGGAAUUCUCUAUUCCUGGAAUAACUUCAGAAGUUCCGGAUCUCCAGAUAAAUGUGGACCAUGCAGACCAGAAGACAAUGGAGCCACAACUUCCACAGACUGAAAGAACUGCCAGCUCAGAGCUCUUUAUUCUAUCCUCCAGGAAUGAAGGUGAGUGAAAGACAUUCUCAGAUGAAUAAAAAUUAAAGUACUCUGUCAUCUGCAGACCUGCUCUAAAAGAAAUGCUACAGGAAAUUCUUCAGGCUGAAGGGAAAUGCUUCCAAAGGGAAACCUGGAACUUCAGGAAUGAAAGAUGAGCAACAGAAAUGGUGUCUACGUGAGCAAUUAGCACAUACAGCACGUGAACUACCAAAGACCGAGGGUGACCAAAGUGACUGUGGUGGGAAGCGACAACUAACAAGAGUCCGAACAUCUGGGAGGAAGCUGGGUCCCACCAGGUAUUGUGUGGGCCUGGGUAUCUUCAUCUGUCUACCUGACUGAAGCUCCAGAUGGAAGGUGCCAAACUGGGGAGGUGGUGGAAAUAAGGAAAAGGAAAGCUGAAUGAAGAGGGUUGAGACUGGUGAGCAUGUGCGCAGGCAUGGAAGCUGCCGGGAAAGGAGAUGCUCAUGCAGUGGACUCCGAGGAGCAAGGAUGAGCACCCUUGACCACAACAAAUGGGCAGAGGGAGAGGAGCCCCUCCUCUGGGAAGGGGACAAGCCGCAGGGUCAGAGGGGAAGGGCAGAGCCACACUGGGUCACCAGCAGGGCAGAGUGGGGAGAGGGAGGAGCCACGGAAACGGGCCAGGCCCCCAGGGGGAAGCGUGAGCCUCUGCCAAGCAGGGCUGGCCGGAGCUUGGGGCCCGCAGCUCCCCUGGGGUCAGCAAGGCUGUGGUCACUGUGCUGGGCAGCGUGACUCAAAGGGAGGCCAGGCUCCUCCACCUGCCAGCCUUUGGCCCUGAUAAUCCAUUUUAAACUGCAGGUCCCAGUUCCUUAGUGGGUCACAAACAGCACUUUCAAAGGUGAACUGAAUAGAAGAGAAAAUAGCAAUGUGCGCUGCACACAGUGGAACCUGCUCUGCAUAUGUCCCUGUCAAGAGGCAAUGCACAGAAAGUACCAGAACGCUCCUCUUCCCACUGUGAGAGCCUAAAGACUACAUCAGGAAAGAAAGGCAGAGCUCUCCAUCUGGGGGUGCAAGUCAGUGCCCUGAAGAAAAUUUUAUAAGACUCUCCAGGAAAUAACAACUUACGAGUGGCUGGGGUUCUGGAAAACAGAAUAGAACACUUCCUAUUAGAACUCAAAAGAAAAUGGCACUCGGAUCUUCAUGACGGUGCCCACCACCCCCCUCCUUUAAGCCAACCAGCAGACUUCAUCGUCAGGCCGUGGAGACACAGGGAGACACUUGCCAAGGCAUCUGUGAGACGCACUUCUUCAUCCUUCUGUGAAGCUGCAUGAGGCGCUCUGCAUCCCCACUGGAGAGAAACCCAGCAAGCACCGCCCAGGCCUGCUGGGACCCGUGGGGAGGCUAUGCAAGAAAGAGGCUGAGGAAAGGGCAGAGAGAAGCUGGGUGUGCCCAUAUAAUGUAGGCUGCCAGAUCAGACCUUGCCUGAAGCUAGCCCUUCUUCGGCCUUCUAGGUCAGAGAUACAGCUUCAACAACCACCAAAAAAUGGAGCUGUUCAUCAUAGCAUCAGAUACUUCAACACAUUUCUGGAAAUCAGAAGCCACCUGUCUGGCACAAAUCUGAAAAGGAAGAUGGGGUACGGGUGUCCUUUUUGCCUGCACACUGGAGUGCAUGGGUUUCUGGGUGUGAAGCCCCCCUCUUGCUAACUCAGCAC
rnacentral:lncRNA from 10 species